rnacentral:misc_RNA from 1 species
GAUGAAGAACGUAGCGAAAUGCGAUAAGUAAUGUGAAUUGCAGAAUUCAGUGAAUCAUCGAAUCUUUGAACGCACAUUGCGCCCCCUGGUAUUCCGGGGGGCAUGCCUGUUCGAGCGUCAUUUCACCACUCAAGCCUCGCUUGGUAUUGGGCAACGCGGUCCGCCGCGUGCCUCAAAUCGACCGGCUGGGUCUUCUGUCCCCUAAGCGUUGUGGAAACUAUUCGCUAAAGGGUGUUCGGGAGGCUACGCCGUAAAACAACCCCAUUUCUAAGGUUGACCUCGGAUCAGGUAGGGUUACCCGCUGAACUUAAGCAUAUCAAUAAGCGGAGGA